AUUGAACGCUGGCGGCAUGCCUUACACAUGCAAGUCGAACGGCAGCUCGGUACCAAUCCUUUUGGCGAGUGGCGAACGGGUGAUUAAAGCAUCGGAACGUGCCCAGUCGUGGGGGAUAACGCAGCGAAAGCUACGCUAAUACCGCAUACGCUCCGAGGAUGUAAGCGGUGGACCGUAAUGCCUCGCGCGAGUGGAGCGGCCUAGGUGGGAUUAGGGAGUUGGAGGGGUAAAGGCUCACCAAGCCGACGAUGUGUCGCAGGGCUGAGAGGACGAACAGGCACACUGGGACUGAGAAACGGCCCAGACUCCUACGGGAGGCAGCAGUAGGGAAUUUUGGGCAAUGGGCGCAAGCGUGACCCAGCAAUGCCGCGUGAAGGAUGAAGGUUUUCGGAUCGUAAACUGCUUUUGUACGGAGAGAAAAGGCUCGCAAUAAUACGAGCGGCUAAUGACGGUACCGUAAGAAAAAGCAACGGCUAACUACGUGCCAGCCGCCGCAGUAAUAC
rnacentral:rRNA from 1 species